UACGGGGGGAGCAAGCGUUGUUCGGAUUUACUGGGCGUAAAGGGCGCGUAGGCGGCCAGCGCAAGUCAGUUGUGAAAUCUCCGGGCUUAACUCGGAACGGUCAACUGAUACUGCGCGGCUAGAGUGCAGAAGGGGCAACUGGAAUUCUCGGUGUAGCGGUGAAAUGCGUAGAUAUCGAGAGGAACACCUGCGGCGAAGGCGGGUUGCUGGGCUGACACUGACGCUGAUGCGCGAAAGCCAGGGGAGCAAACGGG
rnacentral:rRNA from 1 species